rnacentral:rRNA from 1 species
AAAUUGAAGAGUUUGAUCAUGGCUCAGAUUGAACGCUGGCGGCAGGCUUAACACAUGCAAGUCGAACGGUAGCACAGAGAGCUUGCUCUCGGGUGACGAGUGGCGGACGGGUGAGUAAUGUCUGGGAAACUGCCUGAUGGAGGGGGAUAACUACUGGAAACGGUAGCUAAUACCGCAUAAUGUCGCAAGACCAAAGA